rnacentral:rRNA from 1 species
UACAGAGGCCCAAGCGUUAGGCGGAAUCACUGGGCUUAAAGCGUGUGUAGGCGGAUCGUUAAGUGCCUUGUGAAAUCCCAUGGCUUAACCAUGGAACUGCUUGGGCAUACUGGCGAUCUUGAGCCACUUAGGGGCAACCGGAACAAAUGGUGGAGCGGUGAAAAUGCGUAGAGAUCGGGAGGAACACCGUGGCGAAGGCGGCUCACUGGGCUGACCUUGACGCUGAGGCGCGAAGGCGUGGGGAGCGAACGGG